rnacentral:rRNA from 1 species
CUCGUGUCGUGAGAUGUUGGGUUAAGUCCCGCAACGAGCGCAACCCCUAUCCUUAGUAGCCAGCACGUAAUGGUGGGAACUCUGAGGAAACUGCCAGGGAUAACCUGGAGGAAGGCGGGAAUGACGUCAAAUCAUCAUGCCCCUUAUGAUUUGGGCUACACACGUGCUACAAUGGCCUAAACAAAGGGAAGCAAACCCGCGAGGGGGGGCAAA